rnacentral:tRNA from 1 species
GAAAUGUGCCCGAGAUAAGGACUAUUUUGAUAAAAUAGGCACAGCGAUCACCCGUCGCUCAUUUCUU